UCAUUCAGCCAUCCUGUUUAUUGCCGAGCAUCCUAACCUCUAAAGGUCUUGUUAUACUUAAUAUCUAGUCUCGCACAACUCUUUUAACUUUCACAAAAUUCUAUAUCCCUUACAACAAACGUGAAAUAAACAAACCUUAUAAGAACUAAUCAAGUGAACGUGUUUUGCUCUCUUGCUCCUAUCUCUCAUUUGUGACUAAUUAUGACAGAAUGAUGAAAGCCGUUGAACAACAAGCCUGUUUAAUCCUCGAGGAUCUCAUUCUACUUGACUGCUAACGUUGUAAUUGAAUUGAAACAAGAUUGUUAAGAACAAAAUAGACACAAUGGACCAAAUGUUACCGAGCCCGGGGUUCAGUAUACCCAGCAUUGGUACUCCUCUGCAUCAGCCGGAAGAGGAUCAACAGAUUCUACCGAAUGCUCUGCAACAGCAACAACAACAGUCACAGCAGCAAUAUCAGCUAGGUCCAUUGCACUCAAUGAGUCCCAAUCUCCAGAGUGGAAUGCUGAUGUUAACACCCCAGAGGACAAUGCAUACUUAUGCCCCAACUCCAGCAUUUGCGACUCCACAGAGUCUAAUGCAGCCACAGACUCCACAAAAUAUGAUGUCACCAAUUGUACAGCCUAUCAAUCAAAUAGCACCACCUUCGAUAGGGCCAUCAACACCUGGCCCAAUGACACCAAUGACUCCAGCAUCAGCUGAUCCUGGAAUUCUACCACAAUUACAGAAUAUAGUGUCUACAGUAAAUUUAAAUUGUAAACUAGACUUGAAAAGAAUUGCACUUCACGCUAGAAAUGCUGAGUACAAUCCAAAGAGAUUUGCUGCUGUUAUCAUGAGAAUUCGUGAGCCUCGAACUACGGCUCUCAUAUUUAGCAGUGGAAAAAUGGUUUGCACUGGUGCUAAGAGUGAGGAGGAUUCACGAUUGGCAGCGAGAAAAUAUGCUAGAAUCAUUCAAAAAUUAGGAUUCCCGGCAAAGUUUUUGGAUUUUAAAAUACAGAACAUGGUGGGCAGCUGUGACGUAAAAUUUCCAAUUAGAUUAGAAGGCCUCGUUCUGACUCAUGGACAAUUCUCCUCAUAUGAACCGGAGUUAUUCCCCGGAUUAAUUUAUCGCAUGGUCAAACCGAGAAUUGUACUGCUAAUAUUCGUGUCAGGAAAGGUCGUUCUCACAGGCGCAAAGGUACGUCAAGAGAUAUACGAAGCAUUUGAUAAUAUUUAUCCAAUUUUAAAGAGUUUCAAGAAACAAUAAUGCAUCCGUUUCACGAUGCCAAACUCCAAUUGUAUAUUAGAAUUUCCAUAGUUUUAUAUUAUCAGAUAGAAAAAUGAUAAAAUAGACUUGAUCAUGUGGCUUAUCAAUUUAUCACAAUAUUAUAAUGUAGUUGUUUUUAUAAGUAUAUUAUCUACCAUUGAAUCGUCGAGCGACAUGUACUCAAUCUCAGCAAUUCAUAUUACUCCAAUUUAUUUAUUAAUAUAUAUAUAUAUAUAUAUUUUAUGUUAAAUGCACGCCGUGUUUUGGAUAUGUAUUUUUCAAUACUUUUUACAGUUCAGAGUUAGAACUUUUAAUGGUAGUUUCAGUCUCGGAUUCUCCCUCGAUAUGUCUCUGUAUUUCUGUCAGUGUCCUGAGUGUGUAUUCCCGAAAAGCGAUAGCUGUUUCUGAAUCCGGUUUUGACGGCAAUUUUGUUAAAAUAUAAUCGGCAGCGAGUUCCAAGCCCAUUUCCAUCUUCAAAAAUUUCAUAAUAUAAACCUCCGUAGCAAUGUCCUUUCUAAUGUCCAUACUUUCCAAAAAUUCAUCAAGUUUUGGCUUAACAUUCCAAGAUAUUUCAACUGAACCAAUUCCAAUGCCCCGUGAUUCAAUUUCCAAUUGUGAAAUUAUUUCACUUCCAUAUUCCAAAAUAAUCUCUCGUAUUUUUCCAGCAAUUCCAGUCUUCGUCGAAAUAUCCUCAAUUCUCUUUUCAAUUUUCUCACACAUGUCCAUGAAACUGUCAAUAAAAACUGUCGAAAUGUUCAAAUGUUUAUUUGAUAUUUCAUUGCAAAAUUGAUCGACGAUACUUGCAGCCUCCUCGCGCUGCAAAUAUUGUUCAAUAAUUUGAGACAGUAAAUUUCUAACAAUGCGAAAGGCAGAAUCAUGAAUUUUAUCUUCAAAAUUAUCUGCUACUGUCAUUUUUCCUUCCUGACACGUGUCAUUCUUGACAGAAACCACACGUUCAUCAUCCCGCUUAUUAUAAAUUUUAGUAACACUCGAAAAAUAUUUUCUGCGUGACGUAAUCGGCGGUAGAGUCCGUAUUUUGAGUUUUAAAUUCCUCACAUCACUGCGAAAAAAUUCCUUCUGCUCUUUCUGAUAGGAAAUAAUUCCCUGAAGAUGCGCCAGAUCCUUGCGCCACUCCAGUUGACUUUGAAAUAUAUUUUUCGACGACUCUGGGCGUUGUUUAAUGAUAUUAUGGAAUUUAAUUUGCUCCUCGGUUAAAACAGUAAGAACACUCAGUUUUUCCGUAUUAUCUCUAAUAAGGUUUUCCAAUAUCAAAGUAUUCUCGUCGUAUCUCUCCUUCAGGCACUUCAGUUGCUUUUCAUAUUUAGAAUCAUCGGUCCUAUUACCUUUUGAACUGUUAAUAAGACUACGCACGACAGCUUCAUAAAGGGAAACUAAUGAAAUUUGGCAUCCAAAUUUUUUAAUCAUUUCUUCCUCAAUACUGCUCUUCAGUUUUUUAAUCUGACUGUCCAUAUAUUUACAGUCUAUAUUCAUUCUAUGAAGAUGUGUACAAUUUUUUUUGUGCUUUAUUUUUUGCUCACACGUUUCCUGCUGGAGCUCACCCACUCUUUUGUACAAUUGUGACAGUCUUGUCGUGUCAAAGACGACACAAUCAUUUAUCUUCGAUAAAUUAUUGUCAUCAAUGAAAUGCUCAAGUUGAUGAAAAUUCAGUAUCAAAGUCAUGUCAAUAUCGUUCAAUUUCCUCUGCUUCUCGUCCAUAAAAUCAUUCAACUUUUGUGUACAGUUAUUGACAGCCCCCACUAUGAUUUUAAUUUUUUUCGAGCAAUUAUCAGCCUCUCUCACAAGAUUCUCCAUAUUUUUCUGCUCCUCACGCAUUUCAUUCUCGUUAUCGUGACGUUUCAAUCGCAUUUCAAAUGCCAAAUUGUAUAAUUCUCGAGAGCAAUCAGGUGGACAUAUGUUUUCAUCAAACGUCGUCAAUACGAUUUUAUGAAUAUCGACACUACUGUUGUCACUGUCAUCUUGAUCUGAACUUGUUACAUCUGAACUAUCAGAACUGGCUUGGCUAGAGUUGUCUGCUCGUUCAGCCGCAUCUGAUUUUAUUUUUUUCUUGAAUAUUCUCGUUAAAAAUUUGCAAUAUUUAUUAUCCUGUAUCAUAUUUGCAAAGUAUGCACUUUGUUCCUUCAUAGUAUUUUGAAUAGUUUUUAUAUCUCUAGUCUUUUUAUCAAUAAUUCUCAUUGUUGUCUGUAAAUUGUCAACUGCCAUAGCUUUUUCCUGCAAUUUUUCAUUCACCUUUUCCCUCAGGGAGUUCUCCGUUCUUUCAGAAUCACGAAGGACAAUUAAUUCUUGAUGCAACGUUAAUUUGUAUAAAUCAGCGUAGACACUGUCUGCGUAUACCUGAAGUCUCGUGGACUCCAGCUCAUCCAAUUCUCGAUCAAUGUCUUCGUAUCUUGAUUGAACGUCUCUGAUUAUACAAUCCUGUUCAUAGAGCUUUUUCGAUAAACGCACUGCCCUCAUUUCUCUUUCCCAGGGAGUUAUCAACCUAUCGGAAUCCUCCAUCAUCUUCUGGAGAUGUUUGGGGAUGGAUACGUCAACUUCCUUGAUUCGUUUCUUAUCGUUGGCUUUCACAGAUGUCGGUAAUACAUCUGAGUAAUGCUCGAAAAGGCUUUCAUCAGGUACAAUAGUCUUAAAUUCCUCGUCAAAAGCCUGUUCCAUUGUCUCGUCAAUUAUUGAUUGUUUCUGGCGACGUGCCUCCUUGACUUUUUCACUCAUGGAAAUAUAUUUCUCCAGCUAGAUAAUAAAAUUCAAUGGGAAUGCAGUAUCAGAGAGGUAAAAUAGGGAGAAUAGACUUAUCGAAACUCUCAAAGUCAUUUUUCUAGGAGAAAUAGCGAAAUGUUUGGAAUUAUUAUUAUUUUUUUUCGAACUAUCCACAUGUCUUUACUAAAGCUCGGGUUGAGAGGUAGAUUAUUUUAUUGAUAAUUAGGCCAACUUCGUGUGCAAGGGCGAUUAUCGGCGUAAAUUGUAGUAUUAGGUAGAAAAUAGAUCGUCUAAUUUAAUUGAGUGAAUCCUUUUUUAAAUCAGUGAAUAAUUAUUCAACUAUACUGUAAAUAAACUUUAUCUGAAUAUACUGAGGAUAAACUAUAUUAUGCAAGAUUUUAAUAAAUUUAAUUUCAAAAUUCCAUGCAAUUUCAAGACAUUAUUAAUACCCUCUAGUACCUUUAAAUUAUUUUCUGGAUAUUCAAGGGAUAUAUCAAUUGCUGGCAUUUCGGGCAUGUCCCUUAUAUAGUUGUUUGGUAGCUCCGCAUGUAUGCCACUUAAUUUUUUCCCCACUGAAUUUUCCACAUCAUUUUUCAGUGAUAAUUUUUUAUCUCUUAUGGAUCUCAGUUUAUCAUUAAAUGACUCGCGUAAAUAGUGACUCUAUAAAGUGGAAAAGAACACGGUAAAUAUUAUAAUUUAACCACCAGUUUACAGAGGUUAUGUGAAUUUCUCCUACUUUUUUACGACAAUCUAAUAAUUGUUUAUAUUUGCUUAACGUUGUCUCCUGCUCAUGUUGAUUCUCUAUGUUAUAAUUUGAAGAAAUUUUCAAUUUGUAAUCGCCGAUGGUUUUUUUAGCAAUUUCAAUCAUUUGGAUGUCGUCGGGAUGAUCGACAUUGGGGUUAGGUUUACUAUCAUGCAUUAUUUUCCAUUCUUUGGAUCUUUUCUCUAUUUGUAAUUUCUUAUCUUUAUAUUUCCUCAGCAUUUGUUUCAUUUCCACAGUCGGUUGCUGUUCAUUUGAUGAGAAAUUAUGAUUUUCCAGGAGACUAGCUACACCAUCAGUUUUCAGUUUAGCUUCCUCUUCUUUUUUACUUGUGUCUUUCACCUCAUCGUCCCCCAUUUCUUCAACAAGUGUAGAUUGAUUAAACACCAUGUCUCUAGAAGAGAUAAGACAAAAAACAAUGAUAAAAACUAAAUUUAAAAAACUCCUGUGCGAAAAUUGGUACUCACUUAUCAGAAUCCUUUGCUUGUGAAAGUUUCUGCAGAACUUUAGCAUAUUCAAUGUGAAAAUUUUCGUUCAAUUUUUUCUCUUUCAACGAGUAGACCAUUGUAUCUGGUUUGCUACAAAUUUUUAUAAAUAUUCAAUUAUGAAAGCUACUUGAAUUUGAAGGAAAAUCAAAGUGAGUGGAGAAGGACUUUUGUCACACUACUGUCAGGGUCUUUUUGCUAAUAAAUUGAUAAUUUACUGUCAACUGAUUUAAUAAUUCGAAAGAAUACAAAAUAAAAAUGAAUUGUCACAUAAAUUUUAUAAUUUUUUAAAACCCAGUGCCACGAGUACCUAAGGAUUGAAAAGAAAAUACUUCCACCCAACGCCAGAAAAAGCCUAACUGAUUAUUUAAACAAUUACUAUCGUACGAUAUUCUAGCAACGGCAAAUGGGAGGCAAGUGAUUGGCCGCACAAAGUGAUCCAUCAGUUUCCUCAGAAUCAAUUGAUUUUUUUCAAUUUUAAACGCCAUUUUCUGAUUUAUCAAAUCCAUUUCUCGUUGUAAUUGUCCAUUCAAAUCGUCCACAAUGCGAUCGUCUACUUUAAAAUUACUCGGAGGAAUAUGCUGUGACUUUAUCAACUGUUUGUUACGUUCCAUAAUCGUCUGGUAAUCCUUCGUAAGAUUUCUCAGUAAAUAAUACAUAUCAUCUUUAUUUUUCUUCGUGAGUGACAUAAUUCUAUUGCAUUCAGUAGUUAUUAUCACUUGUUCCAAACUCGGAUGAUCAACAUCUUUGAUAUCUUCAACUUGUUUCUUCCCUCUCAUUCGAUAUUUAUCAUUAGUUUCAAAUUUAUUCGUCUCUUCUGCAGAAUCUCCAUGGAAAUUUACAAGAAAAGAAAAAAGAUUUCCGUCGUAACCGCAGGUAAAUAAAUGCUGUUGGUCAUGACUCAGUAAUAUUUUUUUCAUAGAGCCAUGAUAAUAAUCAUGCAUAGGAUAGCUCAAGUAGUCGGAGAAAUUUGUAUAAUCUUUAGGAUUUACACGACAAAGCCGAAGUUCUCCGUAUUCUAGGCCCAGGAAGAUGAAUUGUCCCUUGUGAGGCAAAGAACAUUUCAACUCCAAGUCAUUAGCAUCUGGUAAUGGUGUAGCUUUGAGAGGUUCCACUUCUUGGAUGAGAGAAUGAUGAUCAUCAAUAUCAUCAAAAGUAAUACUGGAAUAUUCAUAAACAUAACCUGCAUCGUAUCCUCCCACAGACAACCAGAUGGUACCCUCAUUAGUAUAAUUAAUAUUCUGCACUGGAUUCGGUUUCUUCGGUACAUAAAGAUCAGGAAGCUGAAGGGUUUCGUCAGUGUCUUCAAGAAAUGUCUCUUCAUCAACAUGAAUGCCAGGAUUAAGCGAUCUGUAUUCCUCGAUUUUCUUCCUGAUUUCCUCACGUUUUUCCAUCUGUUUUUUCUCAAACUCUUGUCUCAGGAUUUCUCGUUUGAGAGAAGAUUUAAUCGAUUUAAAUUUGAGGAAUUUGGCUCGAUAAUUCUCCAAUUGAUACGUCUUUCGUUUAUCAUUAUUCAGGGGAAAUUUUUGGGGCAAUUGAAUCUCACCAAAAUGGCUUUCCUCGCAACCAAUUAAUAUUGUCAAUAAAUUUCGAGGCUUGAAGAUAAGGCAUGUCACAGCCGAUGGGAUUUCAAUGAAUCCAAUUGACGUUAGAUGAACGGAUUCAUCACGAAUUUCAAUGGAAAAUACGAAAACAGUUGAGUCUUUGCUUCCAGUUAUCAAUAGUUUAGUCGAUGAAUUUGUAAUAAUUGAUGUUAUUUCGUCAAUGUGGGGCUUGACAACUUGAAUCAGUUCAAUGUGCGUUGGAUUUUCCUCAUUAUCAUAAAAUUCAACAGUUACAACUCUAAUCAAUCCACUCUGAAAGCCACAAACAAUAGUUGAUCCUCUUUUAUCGAGAGAACAUGGCAGCCAAACAGCUGUUGUCCCUCCAUCACUGAAUCUGUAACUGGCAACGAGUUUUCUCUCAGCAUAAUUGUAGACAUGAAGAUGACAAUCAGAUCCAAUAGUAGCAAUCAAACAAUUCCAAGUGCAGGCAGUCAUAUCCAUAAUUGGACCAGCAUGGCAUCUCAGUAAUUGUCUAGUCGAAUUUGUGGAUUUUUUGUGGUUAUUAGUGAGAGUUUCAUCGAACAUUGACAAGUCAAUAAGCCACAAGCCCCCAUUACCAUCCUGUCCAUACCACUCUUUGUCCUGCUCAUCUGUCGGAUAUUUUUUCUCCAGUGCCAUCAGCAUUGAAGACGUGGGAGAUGAGUCGACAUAAUUCUUCUCCAAAUUUAUUUCAAAUUCAUUUAUGGGCUCGAUUUCGAUAAAUCCUCUGUCCUGUGAUGCAUCAGUCUGAUCAAUCGUUUCGUAAGACCACACUCUCAACCAUCCAUCCAUUCCAAUUGAUAUUAAAUCCCCAUUGGAGUACUCAAAUUGUGUAAUCAUUUUUGAAUGACAAGAUCUGUUAUUUUUUCUUCUCACUUCCAACUUUAUCACGCCUUCCUCCCACACAAGAAUAUUUCCCCAUUCACAUCCUGAUAUAACCUUCUCAUCUGGCAUUGAGUACAGUCCAACGAUAUCUGAAAUUUCAGUUUUACCAAAUUUUCCAAGGACACCCUCAAGUUUUAGUCCAGUAAAGGUUUUUGAUAUUUUCCAGCAUUUGAUGUGGCCAGAUCCACUUGUCACAAGAUGCCCUGGAAUAGUUGGUGAAAAUAUCGCGUUGUAAAUGUCCUGCUCAUAGGAUUUGCAUCUUAACAUGGGGGUUGAUUUUAUCCAAUUCCAUAUCGUUAGGAAAUAAUCAGGACUGCUCCCCUGGGAUAACAGUAAUUUACCAUCAGGACUGUACGCCAAGUGUGAAUAAUUUUUCUCAGUUCCAUUUUGUAAAAUCCUUACAAUAUCCAUACCUGGCCAUUUAUAAAUUAUUAUUGGAGGUUUGUCGCCAGUUUCACCAACAGCUAUAUGACAUUCUUGGGGAUUCUUCACUAUGUGACCUAUUCCGAUGCCAGUUGAGCAUCUUUGAAAUGUUAGUUGGCUGGUUUUUACGUCGAAAAAAUGGAUAAAAGCUCCAGAUGAAAAAAUCAGUGUUGUUGGAUCGGGAAUGCAAAGAUUGAAAUAUCUCUGACAAUCGUAUCCAUAGGAAUAAUCAAAUCUUAAUGUGUUCAUUGGUAAACUUCCAUUUUGGACACGUUUUGGCCCAGAAAUGUAGCUAUUUUUAUUGUAUUCUAAGGGAGGAUGAGUUUCACUUGGAUUGUCUGGAUCGUUAUCAUCAUCCAGCCAUUCUCCAGCAGUUGGGUCUGAUGAAUCGACUUCCAUCACUAUUUACUUCACAAUAUAAUAUUUGGACACUGCGUGUGAUACCCACGUUAGAGUUACGAUAAAUGUUAUGUUGUCAUGACAAUAUCAUUGUUCUCUUAAUGUCCUUUAUUUAUUAAUUCAAUAAUAUCAUUCACAACUUCAUUGAAGAUAUUUGAUGCAGCGUCUGUCAGUAUCUCCUCGACUUUUCUUUCAUUCAAAUCAUCAUAGAAUUUUUCAUUUCGUAUAUUCAAGUGGCCGAAAAAUUCCGAAGACGCUGGAAAAAAUCCUCGAGUGUCUUUAACCCCCGUACUCCAUAUUCGGGGCCAAAUGUAAACCCUUAAAUCGUCAUAAACACAUUCAGUGCUCAGUGGUGAUUGCUUUGCCCUCGUUAUGUAAACGUUGUGAGCAAUAUUACGAGUUUGUAAAUAAUUUAGAAUUUUAAACCCAACAUUUGCAAAAUAGGUUAGAUUGUUAUUGAAUGUUGACAGUUUAAGGCAAAAUGGCACUGCUGGAUAGUCUUUUUUGUCAAUCGUGUAAAGUUUAUUGGAGAGUGGAUGGAGAUUAACUUGUUCCAGUAGCAUCUCGUGUUUUAAAUAGUAGAGAUGCCAGUGUAAAUGGUUUACAGAAGCAUGAGCACAUAAGCUAUUGAAAACUGCUCGUAAAUACGUCGUUUACGUUUUUGAGGCCAGUGAUCGUACCAAAA